rnacentral:rRNA from 1 species
UACAGAGGGUGCGAGCGUUGUCCGGAAUCAUUGGGCGUAAAGAGCGUGUAGGCGGCCCGGUAAGUCCGCUGUGAAAGUCCAGGGCUCAACCCUGGGAUGCCGGUGGAUACUGUCGGGCUCGAGUCCGGAAGAGGCGAGUGGAAUUCCCGGUGUAGCGGUGAAAUGCGCAGAUAUCGGGAGGAACACCUAUGGCGAAGGCAGCUCGCUGGGACGUUACUGACGCUGAGACGCGAAAGCGUGGGGAGCAAACAGG